CGCGCGGAUCUUCCAGAGAUUAGAGUUUGAUCCUGGCUCAGAUUGAACGCUGGCGGCAGGCCUAACACAUGCAAGUCGAACGGUAACAGGAAACAGCUUGCUGUUUCGCUGACGAGUGGCGGACGGGUGAGUAAUGUCUGGGAAACUGCCUGAUGGAGGGGGAUAACUACUGGAAACGGUAGCUAAUACCGCAUAACGUCGCAAGACCAAAGAGGGGGACCCUCGGGCCUCUUGCCAUCGGAUGUGCCCAGAUGGGAUUAGCUUGUUGGUGGGGUAACGGCUCACCAAGGCGACGAUCCCUAGCUGGUCUGAGAGGAUGACCAGCCACACUGGAACUGAGACACGGUCCAGACUCCUACGGGAGGCAGCAGUGGGGAAUAUUGCACAAUGGGCGCAAGCCUGAUGCAGCCAUGCCGCGUGUAUGAAGAAGGCCUUCGGGUUGUAAAGUACUUUCAGCGGGGAGGAAGGGAGUAAAGUUAAUACCUUUGCUCAUUGACGUUACCCGCAGAAGAAGCACCGGCUAACUCCGUGCCAGCAGCCGCGGUAAUACGGAGGGUGCAAGCGUUAAUCGGAAUUACUGGGCGUAAAGCGCACGCAGGCGGUUUGUUAAGUCAGAUGU
rnacentral:rRNA from 1 species